rnacentral:rRNA from 1 species
UACGAAGGGGGGCUAGCGUUGCUCGGAAUCACUGGGCGUAAAGGGUGCGUAGGCGGGUCUUUUAAGUCAGGGGUGAAAUCCCAGAGCUCAACUCUGGAACUGCCUUUGAUACUGGGUAUCUUGAGUAUGGAAGAGGUAAGUGGAAUUGCGAGUGUAGAGGUGAAAUUCGUAGAUAUUCGCAAGAACACCGGUGGCGAAGGCGGCCAACUGGACCAUUACUGACGCUGAGGCGCGAAAGCGUGGGGAGCAAACAGG